GGGGAUAUGGCGAAAUUGGUAGACGCUACGGACUUAAUUAAAUCCGUCGAUUUAAAAAAUCGUGAGGGUUCAAGUCCCUCUAUCCCC
rnacentral:tRNA from 7 species